rnacentral:rRNA from 1 species
GAUGAACGCUGGCGGCGUGCCUAACACAUGCAAGUCGAGCGAAGCCUUCGGGCUUAGCGGCGGACGGGUGAGUAACGCGUGGGAACGUGCCCUUUGCUACGGAAUAGCCCCGGGAAACUGGGAGUAAUACCGUAUGUGCCCUUCGGGGGAAAGAUUUAUCGGCAAAGGAUCGGCCCGCGUUGGAUUAGGUAGUUGGUGGGGGAAUGGCCUACCAAGCCGACGAUCCAUAGCUGGUUUGAGAGGAUGAUCAGCCACACUGGGACUGAGACACGGCCCAGACUCCGACGGGAGGCAGCAGUGGGGAAUCUUAGACAAUGGGGGAAACCCUGAUCUAGCCAUGCCGCGUGAUCGAUGAAGGCCUUAGGGUUGUAAAGAUCUUUCAGUGGGGAAGAUAAUGACUGUACCCACAGAAGAAGCCCCGGCUAACUCCGUGCCAGCCGCCGCAGUAAUAC